rfam:Arabis alpina cultivar Pajares chromosome 2, whole genome shotgun sequence.
UUAGAAUCCGCUUGGAAAGCUAACACAUAAGAAAAGGUCUCCUUUGUAGAGUACUUCUUGUAUGGAAUACAUUUGUUAUACUUGGCUUGUAAUCUAA